UACGACCAUCUUAUAUUGAAUACCCGGUUCCCCUAUGAUCACCAAAGUUAAGCCACGUCGAGCCUGGUCAGUAUCUAGAUGGGUGACCACUUGAGAAUAUCAGGUAC